UUGAUACAUAAUUCAAUUUGGACACUGAAAAGUUUUUUUUUUCUUCUUACACAUUGGCAUCUUGCUGCAAACACAGAAGGGAAUGGUUAAAUUAAUCUCUGAUCUUUUUGUUUUUGUUUCUAUUAAAACAUUAAUAGAAAUAUAUGCAACUUUUAAAAAAAGAGAACCUAUAACUGUGUAACUAGUAAGCCUAGGCUACCAAUCAUAUCCAUUUUAAAGUAAGUGGUCCAGUAUCACAAGUCUCAACACUUUGAACGUAUUAAUUUCAAAUAUCUGAAGGUUAUGGUUGUCAGUGUGACCAUGUCAAAGACACAAAUCACAACCUGCAAGGACAUCAGAAUCCUAAUGGUACACAAAAUAGUCUAUUGCAACAUUAAAUCAAAUGAAGGAUCUUUUGAAAGGAUGAAGGCUCUUUGUAACACUCCCCGUGAGCAUUCUAGGGGUGGCGACUGUUUUUAAUACACUUCUUCAUACAACACCUGAUCCUUGAUUGGCGCCCUUUGUCGCUACUCUGGAACAUGAUACACACCAAGUUUUUCAAAAGUGAGGAAUAAAUUCUUGGUGCCCAAUCUGAAUCACUUUAAAAGUGAUCUGAUUUUCAGGGAGUGGUUGCUUAGAACUUUCUGAAGAUAAGGCAUCUCAAGGUCAGCACCUAAAAUCAGUAGUCACUAUUUUGAAUCUGGACCAUAAUAAUUAAUAGCAUUCACACAACUCUCGUAGAGGCACUUAUUCAUUUCAAGGCUCAGGCUCCUCUGCUUCCUUCAUGUUGCUCCUAGCUGUGAAAGUUAGUGUAAAAGAUGCCAGGGGGGAAGGGGAGGAAGAUUACAGGCGCUUCUCCAGCCCACCUCUAUGUAUCUAUUUCGCCUAUCUCAGCAAUUUGCAGAGGAAGUGGACAUGACCAGGAAUCUUGGAACUAAACUCCUGGGGAUGAUAAAACCCUGUGAACAAGUGAAUUAAUCACAGGGAUAAUGCACUAGAAUAAAUAUGAAUAUACUUCAUGCUACUGUAGUUCAAAGGAACUAAGGAAAAAUUUCUGCUAUUGAACAUGUCACUGCCCUUCUUCCUAACUAAGAGGCUAAAAAGAGGUAGUAUUCCAUGAAAGACUAUUGUUUGCUUAAUUAUAGGGUCUUUAUAUAGACUAAUUAUAGUCUAGCUUUGAUAUUUUUGUGGUCCGUUUUAUAAUAUGAACAGUCUAUUGUUCGCUGUUAUUUCUAAGGGGGAAGCAUUAUAAAUUAGGAAUUUCUUUGGUACUACGAACCAGAGGGAUAAUGCAGUGUACCAAUGGCUGUGCUGCCAACUCUCUCAACUUUUUCAGGAGGUUUGUAAUAUUUUAUAUCUUUUCUUAAAGCCCUGGCCUUAAGAAAAGACAGAGAAUCUCAGCUUUUAUUU